CAAACCCAACCUAAAUGUGAUAGUUAAGGGCUAUUUAAAGGGGGUACAGCCCCUUUAAAAAAGGACACAGCCUCCACCAGCGGAUAACCCCCGUACACCCAGACCCGUGGGCCUUAAAGCAGCCACCCCCAAAGAUUGCGUCAAAGCUCCAUCAACCAAAAACCCCAAAACCAGUGCGACUCCCUACACCCACAGCAGGCCAACCUAUAACAAUAGAUGAAUCAAUGCUAGAACGAGUAACCAGGACACUACGUCCCCCCAAGCGCCAGCCUGUGCACCAUUAACAGUAAAACCUCAAUAAUAACCACCCACCAUUGAACCCACCCUGUCAACCCAACUCAGGGGCGCACACUGGAGUGAUCAAAGUCUACAAAAGGAACUCGGCAAACCUAAGACCCGACUGUUUACCAAAAACAUAGCCUUCAGCCAAACAAGUAUUGAAGGUGAUGCCUGCCCAGUGACACCACGUUUAACGGCCGCGGUAUCCUAACCGUGCAAAGGUAGCGCAAUCAAUUGUCCCAUAAAUCGAGACCUGUAUGAAUGGCUAAACGAGGUCUUAACUGUCUCCUGUAGACAAUCGGUGAAACUGAUCUCUCUGUGCAAAAGCAGAGAUGAGCACAUAAGACGAGAAGACCCUGUGGAACUUCAAAAUCAAUAGCCACCCCACCCAACCUACCAGCCCACAGGCCCACCACCCAAGACACUGGCUAACAUUUUUAGGUUGGGGCGACCUUGGAGAAAAACAGACCCUCCAAAAACAGGGCCAAACCCCCUAACUAAGAGCAACCUCUCAACGUGCCAACAGCACCCAGACCCAGUAGACCUGAUCAAUGGAC
rnacentral:rRNA from 1 species